CAAAGGUCUAAGUUGCUCUGCUGUUAAACCUAGGGCAGCUGGUAGCAAUUCUAUUCAACAUGAACAUUGAACAGGAACAGGCAGAUGUGAAGGAGUGUGAGCUGUUCUGGCCACGCUGACACACCUUUGGAAUGUUCCAUUUCCCAUAAGUAAGAAGAAGCCAGUAAGAGGUAAGAGUCUCAGCAUCAUCUUUACGCUAUCCAAGGAUUGUUUCAUUUCAAGGCAAACACAGCUAAUCCAACCUCUACUUAUUUCUGCUGUCAUAUCAGUGUGAACACAAUGGAACUUCAGGACCUUCAAAUCUGAAAAAACAAAUGCAGAACAUCUUUC
ensembl:lncRNA